rnacentral:rRNA from 1 species
GACGAACGCUGGCGGCGUGCUUAACACAUGCAAGUCGAACGGAAAGGCCUGCUUUCCCUUGUGGAUUGCGGGUACUCGAGUGGCGAACGGGUGAGUAACACGUGAGUGAUCUGCCCCCAACUUGGGUAUAAGCCUGGGAAACUGGGUCUAAUUCCCGAUAGGACUGCAGGGUGGUGCCUGUGGUGGAAAACGAUUUUCUAGUGGUUGGGGAUGAGCUCGCGGCCUAUCAGCUUGUUGGUGGGGUAAUGGCCUACCAAGGCGGCGACGGGUAGCCGGCCUGGGAGGGGGGACGGCCACAUUGGGACUGAGAUACGGCCCAGACUCCUACGGGAGGCAGCAGUGGGGAAUAUUGCACAAUGGGCGGAAGCCUGAUGCAGCGACGCCGCGUGGGGGAUGACGGCCUUCGGGUUGUAAACUCCUUUCGACCGCGAGGAAGCCACCUGGUUGGAAGGGUGGUGACGGUAGUGGUAGAAGAAGCACCGGCUAACUACGUG